AUUAAUCUGACAUAUUCAUCAUUCCAUCAUAAACUGCUAAGUCAUAUAUCAUAACUUAGAAUCGAAAUAAUAUUGAACAUUGCCCCUCAUACUGGCAUACCAAACAAGUGUAUAUACACUGUUUACAACAUGUAUCUUAAUAAUUCACAUUAGGUUCAUCUAUACAUAACAAAAGAAGACUCGAUGUCCAGCGGAGAAACUUGACGAAUGUACAGCUACUAAAUGCCGAGACACCUACCAAUAGUCGAGUCUACAAA
rnacentral:lncRNA from 1 species